UUCCUUUUCCAGGGGAUUUUCCUGACCCAGGAAUCAAACCCAGGUUUUCCUGCAUUGCAGUGGACUCCUGGAUGGCUAACGGAGCUGUGGUUGCUACCAGUGUCCAACAUAACCAUAAAGUAUCGGACUGCAUAUCCAUUGCCUGGGAAAAGAUCAAAACUCAAAACUCGGAAGUAUGGUUUCUACAUAUUGCUUUCAAACCAUGGAAGAAUUGAAAGUGGAACCAUUGUAGUCCAGGACUGUCUGUAGUUAAAAGCAGGAAUUAAUUCCACACUGAGCCCAGAUUCUGACUCUGCCUUUUAAUUGUUCUGUGACGUUCGCCAAUGUAGCCUAUAUAUUUCACUUUUACUCAUCUGCAAAAUAGCAAUGAUAAACUUAUUGAUUAUGAGAAAAACAGGUUAGCACAUGUCAAAUGCUUAGAACAGGGCCUGGCUUGGUGUUGGGCACUAGUAUUCACAUAUUAUUGUUUUAUUUGCUUUAGUAAUAGGCAAUGUAACUCCUACACAGGCUCCAUUCCACUUUUGUCUCCUCUCAAGUGUGUUUUCCUAACAGUGAUACAUUAUAGUCUCAAUUUAUACCUCUUGUAAUAGGUGUACUCAAUAAUUACUUCUAUUACUUGUGGAGCUUCUUAUGUCCUAAGAAUGAUUCAAGAGCUGGCAUAAGCAGGGUGGACAAACUCCUGACCCUUAAAAAACUGUAUAUUCUCUUUGGAGGAGAUUAACAAUUAAAACAUACACAAAUAAAACAGUUUCACAUACUAAAUGUUAUCUGAGGAGUCUAUUUAAUAGGGCUAGCUGCUGGAAGAGGUCACUAUGUAGAGGUGACAUCUGAGUUAAGUAAAUCAUUCAUGAUUAGAAGGAUCAGCCAGAAUAUCAUCUGCAGGAGAGGAAAAGUCUUUCAAGAAGAAGGACCCAUGUGAACCAAGACUGAGCCUCGGCCAUCUCAGGUUCUGGAGCGGAGCUGCUGCCCUGCGCUGGUGUGUGGAGGACGCUGGAGGUCCAGGCCGGUAGCCAGGCGGGCGUCACUGGAGACAGGCGGCUUCUGCCAUGGUUCCAAGAUGGUGGUUUCGGUUCCCAGCAAGAAGACGGAGGAAGCCCGAGGGGAAAACAGGGCAUGCCAGUGUGAGGCUACCUCUUUUUAAAGAGCUUUCUCCGCAGUCCAACAACUUUUGCUCACAUCUCAUUGGCCAGAUGGUGUCCUUGGCCCCUGCUAUCUCUAAAGAUGCCUGAGAAAUGUAGUUUUUGUAGGUGGACAUGUAACCACCUUCAACAAAAAUCUGAGUUCUCUUCAUAAGGAAGAAGGUAACGGUGUAUCUUGGGUGAACAACUUGUAGUCUGUGCCCUGAAUACAAAAUACAGUGGUAAAGAGGCAUAAUGUCUGAGAUGGUUCAAAACGGCAGCUCCUUCACAACUGGCAGCACACCAAGCAGACUGCUGUGUCCGAGAGUGACCAGAGUGAAGACAGGCCAGGUUUUCUCGUGAAACACUCACAGCACUGACUGCUGUCUCAGCCGGUGUACCUGUCCCCACCAGGCGUCUCCAGACAGGACCCUGGGAACCAACUCUUGGACUUUCUCGGAGGACGUGCUUGCUUCUUGUAGGCUUGAAAUGAGAUGAGGAAUGUUGUACCUUGCUGCUUCCACAUCUGCGUUGUUUAUCUUUUCUCUAAUCUUCCUAAAACAUUUUUGGUGCAGUCUAGUUGUGUAUUUGAUCCCCAUAAAAGGAUCACUCUUUUCAUGUACAGGCGAGGGUAAUCUAUGUAAAGAAAGGCUACUUUACUCCCUGCUGUGUCUCCACCACCUCAUCUAGGAAUAUCAUAGAAGAAUUGCUUCUCGGAGCUGCCUCCAUAAACAGCCUACAUCCUGACUGAGCAAAGAGAGAAGAAACACUUCCCACAUCCAGGGCUGUGCAAAAGAACUUUCUGUGAUGACAGAAAUGUUCUGUAUCUGCAGUGUCUAAUACAGUAGCCACCAGCCACCUGUGGCUAGUGAACGACUGAAAUGUCACUACUGUGAUUGAGGAAGUAAAUUUUAAUGUUAUUUAAUUUUAAAUACCUUAAAUGUAAAUAGCCACAUGUGGCUAGUGACUAGUGUUGUAGACAAACCUUUCUUGUGUUUUAGAACUUGCUGGGUGUGUGUGUGGGUGGGUGGGGGGGGGGGGGUGGUUGAAUAAGUUGUAUGCUUGGCAUUCCAUGGUCUUCACUAUUCCACCUUGCCAUCAAACUUGUCUCCCAGACACAGAGGAAAACUGGUAUUUUGGAACUAAAUUCAGAUGUUACUUGACAUUUACACAUUGAACAUAUGUAUUUGUAUGUGUUCCUGUGUGAAUAGAAUGGUCUUCUGGGAAUAGGUCCUGUGAUUGAUUUUCGUGAUAACUGAUGAUGGGAAAGUGGUGGUGCUGGUCACUUUACUUUCCUAGUGAACAUUAUGUGUUCCUUGUCAUAGUCAGUAGAGAUUCUGUUGCGCAGUUCAUUCUGUUACUUUAUUUUUGUAAUACUGUGGCUGCUAAAUGAUUAUUCCAUGUCGUUUCCCAAAAUACUUUGUGGUUUAUAUUUUUUAAAAGGCUAUGAAAUAAAAAAUAGUAGAUCA